rfam:Azospirillum humicireducens strain SgZ-5, complete genome.
GCCUUCACUGGGGGGAGCCGAUGGGCGGCUGAGAGGUCCCGUUGCGGGACGACCCCUGGAACCUGAUCCGGUUCAUGCCGGCGUAGGGAUCAGUGAUGCCAGACCGC